rnacentral:rRNA from 1 species
UACAGAGGUCUCAAGCGUUGUUCGGAUUCAUUGGGCGUAAAGGGUGCGUAGGCGGCGCGGUAAGUCGGGGUGUGAAAUCUCGGAGCUUAACUCCGAAACUGCAUUCGAUACUGCCGUGCUUGAGGACUGGAGAGGAGACUGGAAUUUACGGUGUAGCAGUGAAAUGCGUAGAGAUCGUAAGGAAGACCAGUGGCGAAGGCGGGUCUCUGGACAGUUCCUGACACUGAGGCACGAAGGCCAGGGGAGCAAACGGG